CAGCCUUGUGUCUCUGGAGCAAGACAGAAUGAACAGGUCAGGAUGGAGUUUUGAUUUCAUGACCCUAGUAAAGAGGUGUGGAAAGAUGACAACAUUCAUCAGAACUGGUGACCAAGAUGCCAGGAAGAAGCUGAAGUAGAAGUUUAGAGAAUAAAAUGCCAAAUGGAAGACAGCACAGUGAACUAACACUUUCCUGGAUUCCAAGACCUCCAGAGAACCAGAUGGAUGAGAGAAAUUGGGAAAAAGAACCCACACUGCUUGAAAAAGGAAGUAUACAGAUCUCUUCAUGACUACAAUGAAACCCAGCUCUUGCUAAUGAUUCUGGGGCCAUCUGAGCCUUGACCACAAAAGUCACAAAACUCAUCUUAAUGUACAGGCUUCCUGCUCACAAGGCAGUGCACACUGGUCUCACGUGGUCAACGUCCUGCUUAAGCUCCCCUGGAUUCUUCAUGGGGAAAUGGCACCAGACAGGCCUUGAAAAUGUGGUGUGCUGAAUCCAAACACAAUUUGGUAAGAUACAAGGCAGCAGUGGAAAGUUUUAGGCUAUGUGAGUGUAAAAAGGAAAUUCACACUUCAUUUUAGAAGUGCCAAAGUUCGUGUCUGAAGCUGUAUGCUUCAGUAAAUAUCUAUGCAAGGAACUAAUUCUGAUGUUAUAAAAAGAAGCAGCAAAAAUGAGAACUCCUAAGAAAUUACAUUAUUACUUUUACUGGGCUCAUAUCUUAGGCCAAUGAAUUUUACAUGUACUAUCUACUCUUGAAAACAACCUUAAGAAAUGAAUAUUAUUAUUUCCAGUGCCAAAAUAAGAUUAAAUAUGGAAGGCUGAGGCAGGAGGAUCACGAGAGAUGAAGUGAUUUAUUUCAAAGUUGUUCAAACUGUAAUGUAGGUGAGUAAGUAUUAAAAACUUAAUCUUUCUCAUUGUAAAGUCUAUGUUUUUGCUAUUCAAUUGCUUCC
rnacentral:lncRNA from 1 species